rnacentral:rRNA from 1 species
UACAGAGGUCUCAAGCGUUGUUCGGAUUCAUUGGGCGUAAAGGGUGCGUAGGCGGCGCGGUAAGUCGGGUGUGAAAUCGUUGGAGCUUAACUCCGAAACUGCAUUCGAUACUGCCGUGCUUGAGGACUGGAGAGGAGACUGGAAUUUACGGUGUAGCGGUGAAAUGCGUAGAUAUCGUAAGGAAGACCAGUGGCGAAGGCGGGUCUCUGGA